ACAGUGGACGCGAGCAUCUGUGGCCAAGUUUUUAAGGGCGCACGGUGGAUGCCUUGGCACCAGGAACCGAUGAAGGACGUGGGAGGCCGCGAUAGUCCCCGGGGAGUCGUCAACCAGGCUUUGAUCCGGGGGUUUCCGAAUGGGGAAACCCGGCAGUCGUCAUGGGCUGUCACCCACUGCUGAACACAUAGGCAGUGUGGAGGGAACGCGGGGAAGUGAAACAUCUCAGUACCCGCAGGAAGAGAAAACAACCGUGAUUCCGGGAGUAGUGGCGAGCGAAACCGGAUGAGGCCAAACCGUAUGCGUGUGAGACCCGGCAGGGGUUGCGUAUGCGGGGUUGUGGGAUCUCUCUUCC
rnacentral:rRNA from 1 species